GGGGCUGGCAGGAAGAGGUGCCUCCCAGAGGCAGGAGCAAUGGCGGCGGCGGCGGCAGCAGCAGCAGCAACAGCAGCAGCAGCUUUGAGGAGAGCCUGAGACUUGGAAGGGAAAAGCUUGGUAACACACUGUAACAGGGCUGAAAGCACGGAAUACGUGAACAUCCUAAACCUACAUCCUCACUGUUGCCUCCAUUAUCCCGGGACUGCAUACACAGUUGAACCCAGCUAGAUAGGAGGACCAUGUGCAGGUGAGCGGCGAAGGUCCCUCCCCCUUCACGGCUCCAUCUUUGAUGUGAUCACCUCUGUUGUCCAGAUCACUUCUGUUUCCCAUUGUCACGCCAGCCUUAGCCCAAGGUCUCUCCAGCUAUAUGAAUGUUAGCUCCAUGUUCCACCGUGGUGGGCCUGGAGGAGGAGGCCCAUCAUUUCCUAAUAUCGAACAGGCAUCAUGGAACCAGGUCCUCAGCUCCAGGCCUUUCCCACGCCUGGCUCCACAAGCUGCAAGGCCAAAGGGCAGAAGGGAAAGCCCCAAAUCUUCCAGCCCAGGAACAGUUCCCUGCAUCCUGUUUUUCUGUGAUGUCACUGAGACAGCUCGGAGCCCUGCCAGGGAGCCUGAGAAGCCCCAUUUGUCAUCCUGAAUCUCUAGGAGUCUCUGGAAAAGCAGAGUGCACGAGGCUGACAGUUUCCAGUGGCCCCAUAGCAGGCUCCACGUGCAGGACCAUUGUGAUGUGUGUUUCGGGGUCCGGUUGUGAUUCUGAGUCCUCUGCUUCCUCCCUUUCGGGGUGUCCAGAUGCCUUUGCACACCGGG
rnacentral:lncRNA from 1 species